UACGUAGGGUGCGAGCGUUAAUCGGAAUUACUGGGCGUAAAGCGUGCGCAGGCGGUUCGUUGUGUCGGCGGUGAAAGCCCCGGGCUCAACCUGGGAAUGGCCGUUGAAACUGGCGAACUGGAGUGUGGCAGACGGAGUUCCGGGUGUAGCGGUGGAAUGCGUAGAGAUCCGGAGGAAGACCGGUGGCGAAGGCGGUCUGCUGGGCAGUUUCUGACACUGAUGCGCGACAGCGUGGGGAGCAAACAGG
rnacentral:rRNA from 1 species